GAUGAACGCUGGCGGCGUGCCUAAUACAUGCAAGUCGAGCGAACGGACGAGAAGCUUGCUUCUCUGAUGUUAGCGGCGGACGGGUGAGUAACACGUGGAUAACCUACCUAUAAGACUGGGAUAACUUCGGGAAACCGGAGCUAAUACCGGAUAAUAUUUUGAACCGCAUGGUUCAAAAGUGAAAGACGGUCUUGCUGUCACUUAUAGAUGGAUCCGCGCUGCAUUAGCUAGUUGGUAAGGUAACGGCUUACCAAGGCAACGAUGCAUAGCCGACCUGAGAGGGUGAUCGGCCACACUGGAACUGAGACACGGUCCAGACUCCUACGGGAGGCAGCAGUAGGGAAUCUUCCGCAAUGGGCGAAAGCCUGUCGGAGCAACGCCGCGUGAGUGAUGAAGGUCUUCGGAUCGUAAAACUCUGUUAUUAGGGAAGAUCAUAUGUGUAAGUAACUGUGCACAUCUUGACGGUACCUAAUCAGAAAGCCACGGCUAACUACGUG
rnacentral:rRNA from 1 species